GGGAAUGUGGCUUAGUAGCAGAGUACUUGUCUAGCAUACAUGAAGCCCUGGGUUCAAUUCCUCAGUUCUA
rfam:Dipodomys ordii contig_38587, whole genome shotgun sequence.